rnacentral:tRNA from 1 species
GACCCCUUCGUCUAGUCAGGUCUAGGACACCUGCCUUUCACGCAGGCAACACGGGUUCGAAUCCCGUAGGGGUCGCCA